GGGGUUGUAGCUUAGUGGUAGAGCGCUCGCUUAGCACAUGUGAGGUUUGGUCCUCAGCACCAUAUACGGAUAAAAUAAACAUAUUGUAUCUAACUACAACUAAGAAAUAAAUAUUUUUUAAAAAUCAUCAAAAGAGAGAAAUAGGGCCUGGGGUUAUAGCUCAGCAGUAGAGUGCUUGCCUCACAAGUGUGAGGCACUGGGCUCGAUCCUCAGCACCACA
rnacentral:tRNA from 1 species